rnacentral:rRNA from 1 species
GUAGGUGGCAAGCGUUGUCCGGGAAUUAUUGGGGCGUAAAGCGCGCGCAGGCGGUUCUUUAAGUCUGAUGUGAAAGCCCACGGGCUCAACCGUGGAGGGUCAUUGGAAACUGGAGAACUUGAGUACAGAAGAGGAAAGCGGAAUUCCACGUGUAGCGGUGAAAUGCGUAGAGAUGUGGAGGAACACCAGUGGCGAAGGCGGCUUUCUGGUCUGUAACUGACGCUGAGGCGCGAAAGCGUGGGGAGCAAACAGGAUUAGAUACCCUGGUAGUCCACGCCGUAAACGAUGAGUGCUAAGUGUUAGGGGGUUUCCGCCCCUUAGUGCUGCAGCUGACGCAUUAAGCACUCCGCCUGGGGAGUACGGCCGCAAAGGCUG